GGACUACCGGGGUAUCUAAUCCCGUUCGCUCCCCUGGCUUUCGUGUCUCAGCGUCAGCACAGCCCCAGCGACCUGUUUUCACCGUUGGCGUUCCAAGUGAUAUCUACGCAUUUCACCGCUCCACCACUUGUUCCGGUCGCCCCUAGCUGGCUCAAGGCACCCAGUAUACCAAGCCGUUCCCCGGUUGAGCCGGGGGAUUUCACAAGGUACUUAGGAACCCGCCUACACACGCUUUAAGCCCAGUGAUUCCGCCUAACGCUUGGCACCUCUGUCUUACCGCGGCGGCUGGCAC
rnacentral:rRNA from 1 species